UAACAAUGGACAAUGAAGUAUGAAUGAAUGAAUGAAUGUUUUGGUGUGAGGACACGCUCUGCCAUUGUGUUUGGAUGCUAAUGGUCUGACCGCAGAUAUAUUUUAUUCUUUCCCUGCCAACAAUAUUCAUUAAUGUUACUGUUGUUCACAGGAUGGCUAAUGAUGUGGAAAUAAACCUUAUCUCUUAACAUCAGACAUGUUUUUAGGGUUAACUCUAACCCACGAUUGAGGCAGCCUAGAGGGAUUCAUCUGUUUUUGUCUUCCAAAAAAAAGAAAGAAAGAAGGUCUAUGAGGUGGGAGUAGUAUUAGAAGCACCUUUUUAGUUUUCCCGACCUGGUGAAAGCCAUGAUGUCCAUUCACGCAAUACCCGACACAUCAACGCUGCACUAUAAUGUAAUAUUGUAAAAUGUGCAUUAUUGCUCCGAUGCGUCAAACAGUUGCGCUGUUGUAUCAAUUAAAAACAUCCGAAUCCGAAUCCGAAACAAUUUAUUGCCAGGAAUGUUUACACAAACGAGGAAUUAAUUGGGCGGAAGGUGGAACAUUAGACAUGACAAACAACAAUCAACGCGACAGCAACAGUGCAAUGUAUUAAGUAUAAGAUAAAGAUAAAGUGCUCAGACAAGAAAUAAAGUUAAAGUUAGUACAUUGAGUUGUGUUGGGGUUAAAUAAGCUCUCUCUCAUUCCCUGCUUGUAAUACAUCAUUCAUAUUUAGAGGUUGCUAUUACAUUCACUAACUCAGUUGUUAGUUACACUGUACAAAACAAAUACUCCAUUACAUGUGAAAGUCCUGCUUUCCAAAAUGAAAUAAAACAAACUUAAAGGUGAGAACACGUGCUUAUGCAGGAAAAUUAGCUUUGUCAGAGUUAAUUGUUGUACUACUGUUUUAUUUCUGCUGUAUUAAAGGCCCUAAGCCAUUUGAGAUAUUUAAAAUACUGUCGGUGUGUACAUUUACUGUUAAACAAUGCAUCACAUUCUAUGUUCAUAGGUUUAAAAUCCUGAUCUGCAAAGUACAAAGUAGAAUAUUUCCCUGGUGGAGUCGCCUUCAAGCACAGGGGAAAACAACAGGAAAUGAAACAACCCAAGUGAGGUAGAAGUACCUCAGAAUUGUACUCGGUCACUUCCCACUUAUGCCACGAAGAAGAAGGAUCACGUCUGUCCUACACGCCUCCGGAAGGAGGAGAGGACGUGUGCGCUGCGUGUUCCGCCCGCUAGAGGGCGUCAGUGUCCCGUCCACGGCGAAGGUGUGCGUGUAAGCUAAGAGAGCGAGCGAGCGAGCCGCCCGACACCCGGAACCAUGCGAGCUAUCAUUCAGAGGGUCACCAAGGCGAGCGUGACGGUGGGAGAAGAAGAGAUCAGUUCAAUAGGACGAGGCCUGUGUGUCCUGCUGGGAGUGUCGGUGGAGGACACCCAGAAGGAUGCGGACUACAUAAUACGAAAGAUCCUCAACCUGCGGCUGUUCGAGGACGAGAGCGGCCGAGCGUGGACCAAAAGCGUCAUGGACCAGGACCUGGAGGUGCUGUGCGUGAGCCAGUUCACGCUGCAGUGUGUCCUGAAGGGCAACAAGCCGGACUUCCACAUGGCCAUGCCCGCUGAGCUGGCCCUGCCCUUCUACGACAGCAUCCUGGAGAACAUGAGGAGCAGCUACAAGCCGGAGCGUAUCAAGGACGGGAAGUUCGGGGCCGCCAUGCAGGUCCACAUUCAAAACGACGGACCUGUUACCAUCGAACUGACGUCCCCCACUGGCCCCUCAGACCCCAGACAGGCCCCGUUUCAGAUGGAGGCUCCUGUUGUGGUGUUUCACGGGCUGUGACGAACACCGUGAGGAAAGGAGGACUGACUACACUGUGAACUGUUAUUCAUGACUGCGCAGGCGGUCACAACAAUAGACCUGUUGAAGUGGGCCUCUGACGAGCCAGAACUGUCAAAGCAGGAGAAGCAGCAGCAGAGGAAAGAGAAGACGCGCUCCAAGGGCCCCUCCGAGUCCGGCAGGGGGAAAGGCGCCGUACGUUCCCGACAGGACCC